AGCACUUUUGAAUCCACAUGCUACAAAAUAAAGUCUUCUAAAGCCUGAUUUGGAGGUUUCAGGUUCAGAGGGAGAACUGACAUAGUCUGAUGGCCAGAAGUGAGAAGAAUUCUUAACUGCUGCAGCUUUGUUAGUAAUUUUUGUAUGCUGAUUGUUUCGACGCACCAGUACCAACCAACAUAGGAAGAUCUGAACUGCAGGAAUCGCAAGUUCCACUACUAGGUACAUCAAGCUACACAUGACUUUGAACUAUUCAAGAUUUCAUGGAUGAGCUGAAACUAGCCUGAACUUGCUGCGCCACCCAAGUUCAUCAAAAACUGCAGGAGGAGCUUGGAUGGGGAGGGCAGAAAGGUCCUAAAGGUGAUUCCCACCACCUUUAAACCUGGAUCUGUUGUCCAGAACAGCCUCUUUGUGGUUUGCCAUCAUCUGGAAGAAAUAAUCUGAACCAUCACAGUUCCCAGACAUGAGGCCAUGCAAAAUAGAGUGCAGCCAGGUGGCAGCUUCAACAGUGCAGUGGCCUUCUCAGCAGCCCCAAAGCAUGGACACACACUAUGGUAAGAGAAGACGAGUGUUGGUUGCCGUACAGGAGCAAGUUUCCAGGCAUGUGGCUCAGGCUUCAGUGAAAUGGCUUCUUUCUUGCCUGGAAAUCUCAGGCAGUUAUUACAGAGAGGAGAGGAGAUGUUCCAGUGAGCUUCCUUGGUCUGAGCUUGAGAAAAUCAGAUUUGUGAAGGCAAGUGGAGACAUGAAGAGCAGGAGGCAGCUUGUAUGUUUGGACAGAAAAGAAGGCUGCCACAGUCCCAGGGGGUACCUGGAAGAAGUCCCACAGGUAGCAGAGCUCCCAUGAAGCCUCCCAGACAUCAACUGCUAACAGCUCUGGUCCAUGCCAAGAAAAAGGGGUUCAUCAAGAACAGUUCAUUGGUCAAAACAAUGAAAAAACCCAAAACCAUAAACACUGAUUUGAUUACACUCUCUCAGGGCCACAAGAAGCUGUGUUCAAAUUCAAAGAAGAUUCCUCCUGACAAAGCACCACUGAAAGAAGUGAAGGAAGAACAAGACUGGGAGCACAAUGAGAGCCUGUGCUGAUCACACUGGUUGUGUGCUUGCACUUGUGCUGCCCUGGACCUUUUUCUCUUUUAUGAAAAUAUUAAGAAAUGUAUACCUUUCUCUAACAUAAAGCAAGAGGUAUUCCAAAUUAUACAACUUUACUGAACUGAAUUUUCUUCCAGCCAUGGAAGAAUCAUGGCAUCCUUCAAAAUAUUUUCAGUGUUUCCUCAAUUACUUAGACGAGUCCUUUUGCUUGUUCUUCUGUAGCUUCUAUAAAGCAAAAGAAAAUAUACUGUUAUUUUUAUAUAGUUUUAAUCCUUUAAACCUUCAAUCUUUUGUUCUUUCCUCCAAGCUGUAAUUAUUCCCUCAGAAACACUUUCAGUUUAAAGAACAUCUUGAUCACUAACACAAUGUCAAUGUAAUAUAGUACUUGAUUCAAAAUUAAUCUAGCAGGAGAUAUAUCAACUCCAAUUAGCCUUUAAUGCAUUUUUA
rnacentral:lncRNA from 1 species